GUAUACUGAAGAUUAACUAGCACAGCAUGAACAUGGAAAACCUGGCUGGGCUUAAAAGAAAUGAGAUUCCUUCAAUAUGCAACAGCUACACUUGAAACAGAUGUAUGCACUCAGAAAUAUUAACAAGGAAAUGCAAACCUGGAGAGGAAACAUAUGACACAGAUUCUGAAUGCAGUUCCAGAUGGGAAGUUUCAGAAAUGGCCUGAACAAUGGUAACAUCACUGAAAAAAGUGUUUUGGCUUCCCAAGUGGGGGACUUUGAAGGGGACAUCACUCAACUGAACAUGAAAAUUCUUAUGAAAUUUCAACUACUGCAAAACAACAUCCCCACAGUUGAUCAUUUGACUGGAUAAGAAGAUGGAAAAGAGGCUCCUGUGACUGCUGAAUUAAAAGAAUGAAAUUAAAAGGAAAGGAUUAAUCUUUAAGGAUUGUAAAGUCAGGCAAAAUUCCUAAAAUUUCCCAAGAGACAAAGGA